AAUUCGAAGCAACGCGAAGAACUUACCAGGUCUUGACAUCCCGAUGCUAUUUCUAGAGAUAGAAAGUUACUUCGGUACAUCGGUGACAGGUGGUGCAUGGUUGUCGUCAGCUCGUGUCGUGAGAUGUUGGGUUAAGUCCCGCAACGAGCGCAACCCCUAUUGUUAGUUGCCAUCAUUCAGUUGGGCACUCUAGCGAGACUGCCGGUAAUAAACCGGAGGAAGGUGGGGAUGACGUCAAAUCAUCAUGCCCCUUAUGACCUGGGCUACACACGUGCUACAACGGUUGGUACAACGAGUUGCGAGUCGGUGACGGCGAGCUAAUCUCUUAAAGCCAAUCUCAGUUCGGAUUGUAGGCUGCAACUCGCCUACAUGAAGUCGGAAUCGCUAGUAAUCGCGGAUCAGCACGCCGCGGUGAAUACGUUCCCGGCCUU
rnacentral:rRNA from 1 species